CCGUUGCACACACCGCCCGUCACGCCACGAAAGUCGGUCUUACCCGAAGCCGGUGCGCUAACCGCAAGGAAGCAGCUGUCGAAGGUAGGGCUGGUAAUUGGGACG
rnacentral:rRNA from 1 species